AUUAAGUCCUCUCCAAUUUACGCACUGCACACCCGGUAUCCUUCUGCCCCGUGCCGCUGUCACUGAAAGAACGUUGCAAAUCUACUCAUUCAAACUUGUUGGACUAACGGAGCAGCUGAAGUGGCCACUCUCUGUUUAUGGUGUGGUUGCUGCCCGAGACACCGUAGACCGCAACCGCAACCUUCUCUUCUCUCGGUCGAGGAUCAGGGGUCAAUUACUCUCUCGACAUGACUCUUAUCUGCGCUUGACUGGCCCGUCUCAUGCAAUUCUAGUUGGGGAUUAUGUUGACUUUGAAGUUGAACUAAAAGUACGUGAUGGAGAUGAUGAGCGCAAUGAUACACAGUUGAUGUGUGUUAGCAAGCGGUAUAAAGAAGCAGACGGCGGCGGUGAGCAACCUUUACUCUUCGAUAGCCCAUUCUGUACUGCAGAGUUGAGGUUUGAGGUUUUUCCUACGACGGUCCAGCUCACUGUAUUGUCCGUUCGUGUUGUUGGAGGGGAGUUCCCUUUUAGCUCUGGGGGUCAGGCUGCUUGUAUUGUUUCUGGCCGUGAGAGGGUUGUGCUGUUUGAUUCUACUAAAAAAAUUACUAGAGAAGACCAAGUAGUUUUGGAUGGUUAUGUUCCUUUGUCAAGAAACGCCAUUUCAGUAGAGUUUGAAAAAGGAGUGACUGUUGAGGUAACAGCCUAUGUUGAUUCUGGUUCUAUCUCUGAUCUUGUCCACUUCCCUUCCAAGUGGUGCAACAUUAGUCAGGAUAGCUGUUUCAUCUGUGGUUCUGAGGUGAAGAUUACCGUUGCAUGGUCCCGGGUUGUGAGAGACAAGAUGGAGAUGUUGCUGGAGGGAUACGCUACCCAGGUGUAGUGUGCUAUCUGUAAUCAGGAGUGGUAAUUGUAUGUCGGCAAGUAGCAUGUAUCAACUAUAUAUAUUAUUUUGUAUGUUGCCAAGUGGCAUGUAUCGACUCUAUAUUUUGUAUGUCGGCAAGUAGUAUGUAUGAAGUCUAUAUUAUAUUAUUUGACUCUAAUGUGUUAAUGAGCAGUCGUGUUGUG